UUGGACUGUCCAAUUAAUGUUGCAUGUUUUUGGGAUGUGAGAGGAAACCGGAAGGCCCGGAGGAAACCCACGCAGGGACAGGGGACAUUUCACGUGUGAGAUGAACAUCUUAACCAGUACAGAAUGGAAACUGCCACACACACAAAAAAAAAAAAAUACACAAAACUCUUUUUCAGAAAAAAAAUUCUUAUCUGACUAAACUUGGAAAUUUAAGCUAAGGCGAAGAGCUGAAAUCAAAGCAACACUGUAGUGGAAUUAGUGUUGAGACACAAAAACAACAAAGUAUUAGUGGCAAAAGGCUGCCUGGAUGCUCAGUUUGCUUUUCCUUUCUCUCGGUUUCCUGGUCCUCUUGCACUUAAGUGAGUCUGGCUGCAGACCUCACCUCUCAGCCCCCCCACCUCACAUCACCUGUCCUAUCCUGCAGACCCCAGCCGCCACCCCAGGCAGGGAACGAAAGGUUGAACAGGUUGAGGAAAGUCGGAGGCCGGUGCAACCGCUGAUGCUUCGGGGGAGACAACCACAAACGACUUGUGCUUGCUAGGCCUCAAGGCAAGCAAGAAAAUGUCGCCUUGUAAUCUAUUCCUUCUGCACAUCUACCCUUAUAUGUUUCAGUCUCAUCCAUCCAUCCAUCCCCCCCAAAAAAAACACGAUGCAUUGAAUCCGCGGUAGGUGAUCCGCGAAUUAGAGAGGGAUUACUGUACCAGGCAGCACUGGGCACUCAUGGAAGAGAUGCAAGAUAAUCAACAGCAGGAUUUAUAGUGUAUUUUAGACCAGUUUACUUUAUUCAGUGAUUCUUAACUGUUUACUCUAUUAAAGCACCACAGGACUGAGAGGAAUUCUAUUUCAAAUAAGUUGCACGUCGGGUAUGUAUAGCACAUCUUACAAUAAAGUUACUUGAAUUUUA